rnacentral:rRNA from 1 species
GACGAACGCUGGCGGCGUGCUUAACACAUGCAAGUCGAACGGAAAGGCCCUGCUUGCAGAGUACUCGAGUGGCGAACGGGCGAGUAACACGCGGGUGAUUUGCCCUGCACUUCGGGUUAAGCUUGGGAAACUGGGUCUAAUACCUGAUAGGACCGCACUUUAGCGUGUGUGGUGGAAAGUUUUUUCGGUGUAGGAUGAGCUCGCGGCCUAUCAGCUUGUUGGUGGGGUAAUGGCCUACCAAGGCGGCGACGGGUAGCCGGCCUGAGAGGGUGUACGGCCACAUUGGGACUGAGGUACGGCCCAGACUCCUACGGGAGGCAGCAGUGGGGAAUAUUGCACGAUGGGCGCAGGCCUGAUGCAGCGACGCCGCGUGGGGGAUGAAGGCCUUCGGGUUGUAAACUCCUUUCGCUAGGGACGAAGCUUUUUGUGACGGUACCUAGAUAAGAAGCACCGGCUAACUACGUG